rnacentral:tRNA from 1 species
GGGUCUGUGGCUCAGUGGCAAAGCAUCUGUUUGGCAUGCAGCAAGUCCCAGAUUCAGUCCCUGGCAUAUCUU